GGCCUUUGGCUUCGGAGCGCGAACCCCUCCCGAUUUCGAGGUGUCUCACGAUUUCGCCAUCAACUUCGAUCCGGAGAACCCCGAAUGCGAAAAGAUUCUCGGAGUGAUCGAAGCUUACAAGCGCUGCCUUCCCCAAAUCGAACUCUACGGCCCCACCAACGUGGCGCCCAUCAUCAACAAGGUGGCAGGGCCUGCAGCCGAGGAGGAGAAAAGCGGGAUGCCCACGAAGUACCGGGUGCUGCUCAUCCUGACCGACGGGGUGGUGAGCGACAUGCCCGAGGCCUGCGAUGCCGUCGUGCGGGCUUCCCGCCUGCCCCUCUCCAUCAUCAUCGUGGGCAUCGGGAACGCCGACUUCUCCGACAUGCGGGAACUGAACGGGGACCGCGGGAUGCUGGAGACGGAGGAAGGCCGAGCCGUGCGGGACAUCGUGCAGUUCGUGCCCGUCCGGGAGUUUAAGAAGGCUGGCCCCAAUGCUCUGGCAAAAACCGUUUUGGCUGAAGUUCCGAAACAGGUGGUGGAAUAUUACGGGAGCAAAGGGAUCCCUCCGGGGACGCAGAAAUCCUCCUCUCCACUGCCCCAGUGAGACCCACCCACCCCCCAAGCCCCACCCCACUCUAUGGGCAUGAUCUGUCCAGCACCUGAAUGUGCCUGUCUCUCUGUCCUCACACCUCCGUCUUCCAGCCUCCGGCCCCUUCGGAAACCCACCCUCGGUCCUUUCGGGUGGGGGAAAAAAGAGAUUGCACGAACAGGGAGCUGCCUCCAUUCUCCGCGGCAUCAGGCCUCCCA